UCACCUCUGAAGGCUGGCCGGCCCCCAGGCUGGGCUGGGCGAGUAUCUCUUCCAAAGGCUCACUCUCAAGCAGGACUAGCAGC
rnacentral:pre_miRNA from 1 species